CUAACCCUAACCCUCAUUUUCCCAAAGCUAGAGGCCUCAACCAGGUGACAACAAACACUCAUGGGUGGGCCCAAAACUGAGGCUGAAGAUGGCCUUCUUCUGCAACUCCCAGUUGGGAAAAGGUGACAAAGUGAAAACAUACCUGAAUUUGAUCUAUAGAAUCAAUAAUGAUGAUGAUGCUGCCUUGAUGACGAGCAGAGAGUUUUUCCAGCCAACGUGGGAAUUCUUCCAGAAGCUUAGCAGGAUCCAGUGUCAAAGCAGAUACUGACCAAGAAUGCUGCAUCAACUACAAGGUAUUAAAGCAUCAAAUUGUGAGAGAGCUGAGAGAUUAUAGAUGCGUGGUACUGGGAAUACCACAGUAAUACCACAGGAUGGACUCUCACAGAAAGAAGUACACUCUCCCCAGCUGUUGUUUUCAAAAAAACACGUGAUUUUUCUAUGGAAAAUCCAUUGUUAUGGUAAAUAGUCUUAAGAUACUUGAGAUGAAAUCUUUCAGAGAAUGCAUAUUUACCUGUUUAAUAAUCUUUUCCACAUAAAUGUAAGUUUUAUGUACUCCUUCUGCAGGAUCUCCUGAGUGUUCAAUGAUCUGGGGAAAAAAAGUUUAACAACAAGGAAAUCAAUAACAGGAGGAGAAGGUGGUAGUGAAUACUUUCAUAGUGCUUAUGUAUCAGGAAUUGUUCCAAGUACUUUGCAAAUAUUAGCUCAUCUAUUCUCACAACCCUGAGUCAGACACUAUUAUUCUCCCCAUUUUAUAGAAGAGGAAACUGAGGCAAGUUAAAUAACUUUUCUAAGGUCAGGCAAGCAAUUUAGUGUGAACAUUGUUGCAAAUAAAACAAAAAGUAUGUUUUUUGGCUCAUGUGUUCAUCUGGAAAAGUGACUGGUUAUUGGUAAUGCCAAAACUCUGUUCAGGACCAGGUGUUAUUGUUGAAAGUCCAAUUUGGUCUGGACUGAUUUGACUGAUGCACACACCUGCCCCCCCCUUUUUGCUUUUUAGGGCCUCAUAUGAGGCAUAGGGAGGUUCUCAG